AUUGAACGCUGGCGGCAUGCCUUACACAUGCAAGUCGAACGGCAGCACGGGAGCAAUCCUGGUGGCGAGUGGCGAACGGGUGAGUAAAGUAUCGGAACGUGCCCAGUCGUGGGGGAUAACGUAGCGAAAGUUACGCUAAUACCGCAUACGAUCUAUGGAUGAAAGCGGGGGAUCGCAAGACCUCGCGCGAUUGGAGCGGCCGAUAUCAGAUUAGGUAGUUGGUGGGGUAAAGGCUCACCAAGCCGACGAUCUGUAGCUGGUCUGAGAGGACGACCAGCCACAGUGGGACUGAGACACGGCCCAGACUCCUACGGGAGGCAGCAGUGGGGAAUUUUGGACAAUGGGCGAAAGCCUGACCCAGCCAUGCCGCGUGCAGGAUGAAGGCCUUCGGGUUGUAAACUGCUUUUGUACGGAACGAAAAGGUUUGGCCUAAUAAGCUGAGCUCAUGACGGUACCGUAAGAAUAAGCACCGGCUAACUACGUGCCAGCAGCCGCCGUAA
rnacentral:rRNA from 1 species